GCCCCCUUAGCUCAGUGGUAGAGCGCGCCACUCGUAUGUGCGGUCAUGGUGAGGUCGGUUGUUCAAUCCAGCCAGAGGGCA
rnacentral:tRNA from 1 species